rnacentral:tRNA from 1 species
ACCUGGGUGGCUCAGCCGGUUGAGCAUCCGACUUCAGCUCAGGUCAUGAUCUCUGAGCUUGUGGGUUCGAGCCCCGCAUCAGGCU